GGUGUUUGUAAUCUUCAAAUGAUGGGAAAAUCUGUUGGUAUUGAUGCAGCAUUGAUAACUUUCAGUCCUUCAGAAGGCUUAGAAAUUUUCACUAAAUCUUACCCUUUUGUGAUAAAAUUAAGUACAUUUUAAUCAUUUUCUAAUAUAAACAACAACUUUUAAUUUAAACACGUAGCACCAGAAGAGAGGAUAAUCCUAUUAGUAUUUUGUAUCACAAAGGACUAAUAUUUGAUUCAAGUCAACAAACAUUUUGGGAAUAUGUACCCUGUUAGCCUGUAUUAGAUGCCGGGGAUACAAUAAGGAACUGGACCAGUGACUUCUCAAACACAGGUAGCUUCGAGAUAUCAUGAUUGCAACUCCUGCCUUCUUUGUAUCAGUUGAGGCCCAGAAGGUCUUACUCCAUCCUUUAAUGCUGACCUUGUGGGUGUCUACCCACCUCAUGUGUGUUUCUUGAAGACAACAUAUGGUAGGGUUUUGGAUUCUAACCCAUUGUGCGAUUCAUCGACGUUUUAUGGGAGGAUAUGGAAAUCUAUAAUUAAUUCCAUGUGGAUAUUAUUCUCACUUUGCACCAAUUAUGAUCAGAGUAAUCAAGCAUUGUCAGCCACCCCGUAUCAUCAUCUCCAUUGUAUUGAUUCUUUAACACCAAUUCAUGUGAGUUAAUCCUCCCCCCCCCAUUUUCUCUCCUUUUCUCUUUUCCUAGUGAAUUCCUCUUUCUUAUCUCUUGAUUUAAUUUUUCUUUGUUUUGUAUUUUAUUUUUAUGG
rnacentral:lncRNA from 1 species